GGGUUGUGAGGUUAAGCGACUAAGCGUACACGGUGGAUGCCCUGGCAGUCAGAGGCGAUGAAGGACGUGCUAAUCUGCGAUAAGCGUCGGUAAGGUGAUAUGAACCGUUAUAACCGGCGAUUUCCGAAUGGGGAAACCCAGUGUGUUUCGACACACUAUCAUUAACUGAAUCCAUAGGUUAAUGAGGCGAACCGGGGGAACUGAAACAUCUAAGUACCCCGAGGAAAAGAAAUCAACCGAGAUUCCCCCAGUAGCGGCGAGCGAACGGGGAGCAGCCCAGAGCCUGAAUCAGUGUGUGUGUUAGUGGAAGCGUCUGGAAAGGCGCGCGAUACAGGGUGACAGCCCCGUACACAAAAAUGCACAUACUGUGAGCUCGAUGAGUAGGGCGGGACACGUGGUAUCCUGUCUGAAUAUGGGGGGACCAUCCUCCAAGGCUAAAUACUCCUGACUGACCGAUAGUGAACCAGUACCGUGAGGGAAAGGCGAAAAGAACCCCGGCGAGGGGAGUGAAAAAGAACCUGAAACCGUGUACGUACAAGCAGUGGGAGCACGCUUAGGCGUGUGACUGCGUACCUUUUGUAUAAUGGGUCAGCGACUUAUAUUCUGUAGCAAGGUUAACCGAAUAGGGGAGCCGAAGGGAAACCGAGUCUUAACUGGGCGUUAAGUUGCAGGGUAUAGACCCGAAACCCGGUGAUCUAGCCAUGGGCAGGUUGAAGGUUGGGUAACACUAACUGGAGGACCGAACCGACUAAUGUUGAAAAAUUAGCGGAUGACUUGUGGCUGGGGGUGAAAGGCCAAUCAAACCGGGAGAUAGCUGGUUCUCCCCGAAAGCUAUUUAGGUAGCGCCUCGUGAAUUCAUCUCCGGGGGUAGAGCACUGUUUCGGCAAGGGGGUCAUCCCGACUUACCAACCCGAUGCAAACUGCGAAUACCGGAGAAUGUUAUCACGGGAGACACACGGCGGGUGCUAACGUCCGUCGUGAAGAGGGAAACAACCCAGACCGCCAGCUAAGGUCCCAAAGUCAUGGUUAAGUGGGAAACGAUGUGGGAAGGCCCAGACAGCCAGGAUGUUGGCUUAGAAGCAGCCAUCAUUUAAAGAAAGCGUAAUAGCUCACUGGUCGAGUCGGCCUGCGCGGAAGAUGUAACGGGGCUAAACCAUGCACCGAAGCUGCGGCAGCGACGCUGAUGCGUUGUUGGGUAGGGGAGCGUUCUGUAAGCCUGCGAAGGUGUGCUGUGAGGCAUGCUGGAGGUAUCAGAAGUGCGAAUGCUGACAUAAGUAACGAUAAAGCGGGUGAAAAGCCCGCUCGCCGGAAGACCAAGGGUUCCUGUCCAACGUUAAUCGGGGCAGGGUGAGUCGACCCCUAAGGCGAGGCCGAAAGGCGUAGUCGAUGGGAAACAGGUUAAUAUUCCUGUACUUGGUGUUACUGCGAAGGGGGGACGGAGAAGGCUAUGUUGGCCGGGCGACGGUUGUCCCGGUUUAAGCGUGUAGGCUGGUUUUCCAGGCAAAUCCGGAAAAUCAAGGCUGAGGCGUGAUGACGAGGCACUACGGUGCUGAAGCAACAAAUGCCCUGCUUCCAGGAAAAGCCUCUAAGCAUCAGGUAACAUCAAAUCGUACCCCAAACCGACACAGGUGGUCAGGUAGAGAAUACCAAGGCGCUUGAGAGAACUCGGGUGAAGGAACUAGGCAAAAUGGUGCCGUAACUUCGGGAGAAGGCACGCUGAUAUGUAGGUGAAGCGACUUGCUCGUGGAGCUGAAAUCAGUCGAAGAUACCAGCUGGCUGCAACUGUUUAUUAAAAACACAGCACUGUGCAAACACGAAAGUGGACGUAUACGGUGUGACGCCUGCCCGGUGCCGGAAGGUUAAUUGAUGGGGUCAGCGCAAGCGAAGCUCUUGAUCGAAGCCCCGGUAAACGGCGGCCGUAACUAUAACGGUCCUAAGGUAGCGAAAUUCCUUGUCGGGUAAGUUCCGACCUGCACGAAUGGCGUAAUGAUGGCCAGGCUGUCUCCACCCGAGACUCAGUGAAAUUGAACUCGCUGUGAAGAUGCAGUGUACCCGCGGCAAGACGGAAAGACCCCGUGAACCUUUACUAUAGCUUGACACUGAACAUUGAGCCUUGAUGUGUAGGAUAGGUGGGAGGCUUUGAAGUGUGGACGCCAGUCUGCAUGGAGCCGACCUUGAAAUACCACCCUUUAAUGUUUGAUGUUCUAACGUUGACCCGUGAUCCGGGUUGCGGACAGUGUCUGGUGGGUAGUUUGACUGGGGCGGUCUCCUCCUAAAGAGUAACGGAGGAGCACGAAGGUUGGCUAAUCCUGGUCGGACAUCAGGAGGUUAGUGCAAUGGCAUAAGCCAGCUUGACUGCGAGCGUGACGGCGCGAGCAGGUGCGAAAGCAGGUCAUAGUGAUCCGGUGGUUCUGAAUGGAAGGGCCAUCGCUCAACGGAUAAAAGGUACUCCGGGGAUAACAGGCUGAUACCGCCCAAGAGUUCAUAUCGACGGCGGUGUUUGGCACCUCGAUGUCGGCUCAUCACAUCCUGGGGCUGAAGUAGGUCCCAAGGGUAUGGCUGUUCGCCAUUUAAAGUGGUACGCGAGCUGGGUUUAGAACGUCGUGAGACAGUUCGGUCCCUAUCUGCCGUGGGCGCUGGAGAACUGAGGGGGGCUGCUCCUAGUACGAGAGGACCGGAGUGGACGCAUCACUGGUGUUCGGGUUGUCAUGCCAAUGGCACUGCCCGGUAGCUAAAUGCGGAAGAGAUAAGUGCUGAAAGCAUCUAAGCACGAAACUUGCCCCGAGAUGAGUUCUCCCUGACUCCUUGAGAGUCCUGAAGGAACGUUGAAGACGACGACGUUGAUAGGCCGGGUGUGUAAGCGCAGCGAUGCGUUGAGCUAACCGGUACUAAUGAACCGUGAGG
rnacentral:rRNA from 1 species